rnacentral:rRNA from 1 species
GCUUGUCUCAAAGAUUAAGCCAUGCAUGUCUAAGUAUAAACUGCUUAUACUGUGAAACUGCGAAUGGCUCAUUAAAUCAGUUAUCGUUUAUUUGAUGAUCUCUUACUACUUGGAUAACCGUAGUAAUUCUAGAGCUAAUACAUGCACAAAAUCCCGACUUACGAAGGGAUGUAUUUAUUAGAUACAAACCAACAUCGUGGUGAUUCAUAAUAACUUUGCGAAUCGUAUGCCUCACGGCGACGAUGAAUCAUUCAAAUUUCUGCCCUAUCAACUUUCGACGGUAGGAUAGAGGCCUACUGUGGUGAUAACGGGUAACGAAGAAUAAGGGUUCGAUUUCGGAGAGGGAGCCUGAGAAACGGCUACCACAUCCAAGGAAGGCAGCAGG